GACGAACGCUGGCGGCGUGCUUAACACAUGCAAGUCGAGCGGUAAGGCCCUUUCGGGGGUACACGAGCGGCGAACGGGUGAGUAACACGUGGGUGACCUGCCCUUAGCUCUGGGAUAAGCCUGGGAAACUGGGUCUAAUACCGGAUACGACUCCGCGGUGCAUGCUGUGGGGUGGAAAGCCUUGUGCGGCUGGAGAUGGGCCCGCGGCCUAUCAGCUUGUUGGUGGGGUGAUGGCCUACCAAGGCGACGACGGGUAGCCGGCCUGAGAGGGCGACCGGCCACACUGGGACUGAGACACGGCCCAGACUCCUACGGGAGGCAGCAGUGGGGAAUCUUGCGCAAUGGGCGAAACGCCUGAACGCAGCGACGCCGCGUGAGGAUGACGG
rnacentral:rRNA from 1 species